rnacentral:rRNA from 1 species
UACGGGGGGGGCAAGCGUUGUUCGGAAUUACUGGGCGUAAAGGGCGCGUAGGCGGUCCGCUAAGUUGAAUGUGAAAACUCUGGGCUUAACCCAGAGCCUGCAUUCAAUACUGGCAGGCUAGAGUUCUGGAGGGGAUAGCGGAAUUCCUGGUGUAGCGGUGAAAUGCGUAGAUAUCAGGAGGAACACCGGUGGCGAAGGCGGCUAUCUGGACAGAGUCUGACGCUGAGGCGCGAAAGCUAGGGGAGCAAACAGG